GUUCCGUAGGUGAACCUGCGGAAGGAUC
rnacentral:rRNA from 1 species